rnacentral:rRNA from 1 species
GUGUCAGCCGCCGCGGUAAUACGGAGGGUGCGAGCGUUAAUCGGAAUUACUGGGCGUAAAGGGCGCGUAGGCGGUCGCGCAAGUCGGGUGUGAAAGCCCCGGGCUCAACCUGGGAAUUGCAUUCGAUACUGCGUAACUAGAGUCUGGUAGAGGGAAGCGGAAUUCCGCAUGUAGCGGUGAAAUGCGUAGAUAUGCGGAGGAACACCAGUGGCGAAGGCGGCUUCCUGGACCAAGACUGACGCUGAGGCGCGAAAGCGUGGGGAGCAAACAGGAUUAGAUACCCUGGUAGUCCACGCCCUAAACGAUGAGGACUAGACGUUGGGGGGAUAAAACCCUUUAGUGUCGCAGCUAACGCGUGAAGUCCUCCGCCUGGGGAGUACGGCCGCAAGGUUGAAACUCAAGGGAAUUGGCGG